rnacentral:rRNA from 1 species
AUUGAACGCUGGCGGCAUGCUUUACACAUGCAAGUCGAACGGACUUAGGUGCUUGCACCUAGGUUAGUGGCGAACGGGUGAGUAAUGCAUCGGAACGUACCGUGUAAUGGGGGAUAACGCAGCGAAAGUUGUGCUAAUACCGCAUACGAUCUACGGAUGAAAGCAGGGGAUCGCAAGACCUUGCGUUAUACGAGCGGCCGAUGUCGGAUUAGCUAGUUGGUAGGGUAAAGGCCUACCAAGGCAACGAUCCGUAGCGGGUCUGAGAGGAUGAUCCGCCACACUGGGACUGAGACACGGCCCAAACUCCUACGGGAGGCAGCAGUGGGGAAUCUUGCGCAAUGGGCGAAAAGCCUGACGCAGCCAUGCCGCGUGAAUGAUGAAGGUCUUAGGAUUGUAAAAGUUCUUUAGCCUGUGACGAUGAUGACGGUAACAGGAGAAUAAAGCCCCGGCGUAACUUCGUGCCAGCAGCCGCGGUAAA